UUGUGCAGGGCGGGACAUGGUUCUGUGCUUUGGUUAUUGAUUGGAUUUUGCAAUUAAUGUAUUGCUUUAAGUUAUGUGUUGAAUUCAUGUUUAUAAAAAAGACGUUGUAGACCGUGACGUCAUAUCACGACCGUUACAGCAUCCGAAGAAAUUUUGCACGUUCAAAGUCUAGUGUGACCGCGACUUUACACUUAUAUCUAUCGCCAACUGUAUGCUUUACGCAAAUGCCACGCCUGUCGUGGAGACUGACGAAGCAGCACUUGAGUUGGCAUGGACAAAACCUGAUGAUCCAUGUUAACCCAGCAUGAUCUGAGAAUGUUCCAGAGAGAGAGAGAUCAUGUGCUUCAGUGGAAGCAAAAAAAUCUGACCUUUUGCUCAGAGGAGGGGUCAAUGCCAGGGCCCCGCUGGCUCUCACAGAUCUACAGGAGAGGGAGGGAGAAAUGCUUUCAAACCUCUAAGAGAAAGCCACACGCUGGGUCUGAGGAGCCUGUUCCUGUUGCUGCUACGGCAAGAGCCAGCACUUCCUGCUGACUGAACGUGACACCGAGCAGCACAUUAACACCGCAGCAAGAAUCUGGCAGGCUGUGGAUGCAGCUCAUGACUCCAGAGAGCAGCGCUGUGAAGCACAGGGACCAGCAGCGCUCAUUAGAACUGGGAAAUGAAAAUCUCCCUGUUCGUUCAAGAAAUAUCAAUGUAAACAGCUGAUACAUGGACU